GAGCUGGGGAGGGAGGGAGGGAGUGAGCGAGCGGGAGAGAGCAUUGAGCAGGCAAGUUGCUCGGAAGACGCUGCACUGACAAGAACGCAGGAUAAGGUUGAAAGAGGCCACGGACUCAUGAGGCACCAUCCUCUGAGUUCUUGACAGUACAGCAUCUAACAAGCAACAACGACAGAGGAGCUGAAUCGCUUCGAUUUUCAUUCUCAUCACCUGCUGUUCGAAUUCAUUCAUGGCUC